ACGGGAGGCAGCAGUGGGGGAUAUUGCACAAUGGGGGAAACCCUGAUGUAGCGACGCCGCGUGAGUGAUGAAGUAUUUCGGUAUGUAAAGCUCUAUCAGCAGGGAAGAAAAUGACGGUACCUGACUAAGAAGCACCGGCUAAAUACGUGCCAGCAGCCGCGGUAAUACGUAUGGUGCAAGCGUUAUCCGGAUUUAUUGGGUUUAAAGGGUGCGCAGGCGGCCUGCUAAGUCUUCGGUGAAAUGUCAGGGCUCAAUCUUGGCACUGCCGGAGAUACUGGCGGGCUUGAGAGUGGCGGACGUCGCCGGAAUGUGUGGUGUAGCGGUGAAAUGCUUAGAUAUCACACAGAACACCGAUCGCGAAGGCAGGCGACGAUACCAUUUCUGACGCUCAGGCACGAAAGCGUGGGGAUCGAACAGGAUUAGAUACCCUGGUA
rnacentral:rRNA from 1 species